rnacentral:rRNA from 1 species
AUUGAACGCUGGCGGCAUGCCUUACACAUGCAAGUCGAACGGCAGCACGGGAGCAAUCCUGGUGGCGAGUGGCGAACGGGUGAGUAAUAUAUCGGAACGUGCCCAGUCGUGGGGAUAACGUAGCGAAAGCUACGCUAAUACCGCAUACGAUCUAUGGAUGAAAGCGGGGGAUCGCAAGACCUCGCGCGAUUGGAGCGGCCGAUAUCAGAUUAGGUAGUUGGUGAGGUAAAGGGCUCGCCAAGCCGACGAUCUGUAGCUGGUCUGAGAGGACGACCAGCCACACUGGGACUGAGACACGGCCCAGACUCCUACGGAGGCAGCAGUGGGGAAUUUUUGGACAAUGGGCGCAAGCCUGAUCCAGCAAUGCCGCGUGCAGGAUGAAGG